AGUCACUUCACAUCUCUAUCAACAUGCUGCUCUCUAUCCUUUCUCUCCUAGCACUGCUUUUAGGAGACACAUCAGCACAGACAAUUGUGCCACUUGUAGGAGAAAUGCAUGUUUCAGAGGGUGAUAAAGUUACUCUGUCCUGCAGCUACAGUACCAGCAGCAUUAAUGACCCUCUUCACUGGUAUCGUCAGUUUCCCAGAUCCAGACCAGAGUUUCUCCUUUACAUUUACCCACAAGGGGAUAUGAGCAAACCUCUUCCUCCUCGUAUGUCUGCUGAAGUUAAAGAGAAUAAACGUGUGAAUCUGGUGAUCUCCUCUGCUGCAGUAUCAGACUCUGCACUCUACUACUGUGCCCUGCAGCCCACAGUGACAGGAAACCCAGCUACACUGUACAAAAACCUCCCACUACAGAGACUGAAUACAAACCUCUACGCAGAAUAAAGUGUCAUAAUUACAUAGAAUGUAGAAUGAUUUGAAGGAUGCCACAGUGUACAAAGAAUAUAAACAAAUAAACAAAAAUAUUUAACUUUAAAUUACUAAAGGGGACUCUUCAUGAAGCCGCUUGUGAGAAUGACAAGAUUGUGUGCAGCUGCAUCAAGGCACAGGGACUGAAUUUUAAAAUAAUCUAAAGGAUAUCUAUGUAGGAUAUUUAAAAGUUUGUUUAACACCUUUUGGUCUCUGCCUAAUAACGUUAUUUCUUUUUUUGUCUUUACUGUUAUUCUAAAAUGAGUAAAAUUUUGACUGAUAAAUGGUAUAAACCACUGAUAAAUGGUAUAAACCAAUUGUAUAAACCAUUGUUAUAAAUUGCUUUAGACAUUGAUUCUACUAUUAUGUAAAUUCACAAGUUUUGAAUAAUUAGUAGGAAGAAAACAAGAUAAUCUAGUAAGACAUCUGUUGC